AACUUCCGACUUCAACUGUAUGUGUCUUUAUAUAAUAAACUAUUGUUAAAUAUUAACAAAUAAUGUAACCUGUUUUUUAGAUUGACAUUGCUAGUAUUGAGAAUUUUCCAGAACAUGUGUGGCAAUUAUUUAUUUCAGACGUGCCAGCAAGACUAGUGCACUCUAUAUAUGCGCUGGGUCAUUAGACACCAUUAGACAUGCACCUGUCUGGGGAGUGGACAUGUCUGGUUAUUUCUGUAACAGUGGUAUGGCCUAAUAUUGACUGUUGCUAUGGUCCUACAUGAAUGCACCUGUCUUAGGUGAGAACAUGUCUGUAUUUUUUAACUAUUGGUGUGGCUCUAAAGGUUCCAUGCCCUAAUGUGAAACCAAACUAAAAUGAGUGCAAGGCAAAAAGAUAACGGUGGCUAAAUGCCAGAGGGGAUGAGUCAUUAAGAGGAGUUACUAUGUGUGUGACGUAAGGAGGAGAAAUGCAUAAGAAGUGUGUGCCAAGACUGGAAAGUUAGUUGUUUUCAUGAACCAGCUCGGCUUUUAUUAUAUUGUAAUAAAAGUCUAUUUGAACUCACAGGCUCCGGUAUUUGAGAGAUAUUAUUGACUGAAUAAUUCCACGACACUAGCUAAUGUACUUAUAACGUUAUACCUCUGCCUGCCUAGUCAGCUAGCCAGCUAGCUAGCCAGACAUUUUUAUUUAGCUAACGUUAGCUAGCUAAGUUAGCUACUGUAACUGUUAUUGUAGCUUAAUCUUUCUAUGUAGCUUGCACUUCAAUGGUAUCCCCCGAGAAGAUUUUCUUUUCUUUUUCCAACCAGGCGAAGUACUGAAGGCACCACUGAUCUCGACAAGAGGCGCAACAUUCAGAGAAAUUCACAAUUCAGGGUAAUCAUACAAUAUGUACCUACGGGGGAAGGAUGGCCAGCCACACAGGAGUGUGAUUUUUAUUAAGGAGGAGAAAGAGGUUGUGCUGACCGAGAUGCAUGCUGGCCAUUUCGGAGUGAAGCGCAUGAUUGCCAAAAUCAACCUACGCUUCCUUCUUCUGACGGGGAAUUGUCAAGGAGGUGGACAGCUGGGUCAUUACCCUGUCUAGCAUGCCAGAAAUGUGUGAGGGUGAAGAAUGUGGUGCCGGAGUUGAAGCCCAUCAAAGUUGUUUCACCAUGGCACAUGAUCGGUAAGGGUCCUAAUAGACUUGGCGCUUGCCAUGCGGUAGUAGAGAGAACAGUCUAUGACUGGGGUGGCUGGGGUCUUUGACAAUUUUU